CGGGGCGUGGCGCAGCCUGGCUAGCGCACUUGCAUGGGGUGCAAGUUGUCGGAGGUUCAAAUCCUCUCGCCCCGACCA
rnacentral:tRNA from 1 species